rnacentral:rRNA from 1 species
AACGAACGCUGGCGGCAGGCUUAACACAUGCAAGUCGAACGCCCCGCAAGGGGAGUGGCAGACGGGUGAGUAACGCGUGGGAAUCUACCUAGUUCUACGGAACAACACAGGGAAACUUGUGCUAAUACCGUAUACGCCCUAAGGGGGAAAGAUUUAUCGGAAUUAGAUGAGCCCGCGUAAGAUUAGCUAGUUGGUGGGGUAAUGGCCUACCAAGGCGACGAUCUUUAGCUGGUCUGAGAGGAUGAUCAGCCACACUGGGACUGAGACACGGCCCAGACUCCUACGGGAGGCAGCAGUGGGGAAUAUUGGACAAUGGGCGAAAGCCUGAUCCAGCCAUGCCGCGUGAGUGAUGAAGGCCUUAGGGUUGUAAAGCUCUUUUGCCGGGGACGAUAAUGACGGUACCCGGAGAAUAAGUCCCGGCUAACUUCGUGCCAGCAGCCGCCGUAA